AGAUGAAAGACAACGAAGAGAGAUGGAGACAGGAGAUGAAAGACAGAAAGAAGAGAGAUGGAGGUAGGAGAUGAAAGACAAAGAAGAGAGAUGGAGGUAGGAGAUGAAAGACAGAAAGAAGAGAGAUGGAGACAGGAGAUGAAAGACAGAAAGAAGAGAGAUGGAGACAGGAGAUGAAAGACAGAAAGAAGAGAGAUGGAGACAGGGGAUGAAAGAGAAAGAAGAGAGAUGAGACAGGAGAUGAAAGAGAAAGAAGAGAGAUGGAGGUAGGAG